rnacentral:rRNA from 1 species
GAUGAACGCUGGCUACAGGCUUAACACAUGCAAGUCGAGGGGAAACGACGGGGAAGCUUGCUUCCCCGGGCGUCGACCGGCGCACGGGUGAGUAACGCGUAUCCAACCUGCCUCUGACUGAGGGAUAACCCGUCGAAAGUCGGACUAAUACCUCACGGCAUCGUCUGCGGGCAUCUAACGACGAUUCAAGAUUUCAUCGGUCAGGGAUGGGGUUGCUUCUGAUUAGCUAGGUGGCGGGGUAACGGCCCACCAAGGCGACGAUCAGUAGGGGUUCUGAGCGGAGGGUGCCUGAGAGUGGAACUGAGAAAAGGGCGAAACACAUACGGGAGACAGUAGUAAGGAAGACAGGAGAAUGGGCGAGAGCCUGAACCAGCCAAGUAGGGUGCAGGAUGACGGCGCGAGGGGUUAUAAACUGCGGGUAUGCAAGGACAAAGGGAUGGACGGGUCCGUCAUUGCAGGUACCGCAUGAAUAAGGACCGGCUAAUUCCGUG